GAGAGCGAUCUGGGGUUGAUUUAUCAGGUCUUCACUAGACCUGCUAAAUUGACUGCCGAAGCAUCGAUCGCGGCAUGUCAAUCUCCCGGAGAGAAGUCAACAGCUGGAGUCACACAAAAGGCUUGAUUGAUGGCUGCAGGACCCAGAUGGCAAACUCUAGAAAAUGUUGAUGGCAGAUAUCUUUACUGCUGGAAUGAAGAGCGUAUCGUGGUAACUCCAGACAAAGUUUGUUAACCACACCUUCAUCUUGACUGGCUCAUCAGCAUAUAUUCCAAUUGACGAGUAUCAGAACCAUAAGUGAUCCUCACCCCAUGCAAGCAAAGCCUUUAGACAGAUGUCACAUGAUGAAGUAUGUGAACAUCUUGAGAAAAGUGGAUUAUUCUGCUUGAAAACUCCCCCCGUACGUGUGGAAUAAUAUCACAAAACCCAGCAAAUCAUAAUCAAUUGGUUGCCAAUUCCAGGCCAAGGUGGGGGCAUUAUCCCUUUGCGCCCACUGCUGCUGACAAGCCUAUGCUAAGACUGUUGAAGUAGCAGAAAAAGCCUCUUACUAACAUAAAUACAACCUCAAAAAUGGAUAUUGCUGCAUGUCUACAUACGUCCAGGGGCCACAUGGUGUCAGCGGGACAGGAAAACAAAAAUGGAAUGAGAGAAAGAAGAGAGUAAGAUAGAAAAGAGAUCCAGAAAGAGGGGAAGGGCUGAGAAACCAAAGAUUUUUACAAGUUUGACUUCAGGUAGAGCUACUGCUGUUUCUCUGUUGGGGUCACUUCAGGCAAUGCCCGCCUAUCACCACCAGAGUGGCUGUGGUUUAAUGCCGUCUUCAUGAAGGGAGCAGUUCCCCUAUCAAAGGCAAGGCAAAGGGCAAUGUAUUACAGCCACAGAGCCACGCCAGCGGUCAGGAGACAGACUGUCACUACCAAGAAAGACAGUAACAGUCAGCAAAGCAGCAAGAAUGGUUGGUCUUUAAGGGGCGGUAACAUGCCUUCUCAGGAGGAGAGGUAGGAAUAACAUUCUGGACCACCCAUUUUCCACCCAGAUGCUUAGCCCCCAG